UCUUCAUUUCUCGUGCUCUCUCGCCGGUCUGAGUGACGAGGGGGUUUGGGAAAUGAAGAGA
rnacentral:pre_miRNA from 1 species